GCUGGAGAACUGAGGGGGGCUGCUCCUAGUACGAGAGGACCGGAGUGGACGCAUCACUGGUGUUCGGGUUGUCAUGCCAAUGGCACUGCCCGGUAGCUAAAUGCGGAAGAGAUAAGUGCUGAAAGCAUCUAAGCACGAAACUUGCCCCGAGAUGAGUUCUCCCUGACUCCUUGAGAGUCCUGAAGGAACGUUGAAGACGACGACGUUGAUAGGCCGGGUGUGUAAGCGCAGCGAUGCGUUGAGCUAACCGGUACUAAUGAACCGUGAGGCUUAACCUU
rnacentral:rRNA from 1 species